rnacentral:rRNA from 1 species
UGGGAAAUAUUGCACAAUGGGCGCAAGCCUGAUGCAGCAACGCCGCGUGAACGAUGAAGGUCUUCGGAUCGUAAAGUUCUGUUGCAGGGGAAGAUAAUGACGGUACCCUGUGAGGAAGCCCCGGCUAACUUCGUGCCAGCAGCCGCGGUAAUACGAAGGGGGCUAGCGUUGUUCGGAUUUACUGGGCGUAAAGCGCACGUAGGCGGACUUUUAAGUCAGGGGUGAAAUCCCGGGGCUCAACCCCGGAACUGCCUUUGAUACUGGAAGUCUUGAGUAUGGUAGAGGUGAGUGGAAUUCCGAGUGUAGAGGUGAAAUUCGUAGAUAUUCGGAGGAACACCAGUGGCGAAGGCGGCUCACUGGACCAUUACUGACGCUGAGGUGCGAAAGCGUGGGGAGCAAACAGG